GUUAAACCGGAGGAAGCGGGGAUGACGUCAAGUCCUCAUGGCCCUUAUGUCCAGGGCUACACACGUGCUACAAUGGCCGGUACAAAGGGUAGCAAGACCGCGAGGUGGAGCCAACCCCAAAAAGCCGGUCUCAGUUCGGAUUGGAGUCUGCAACUCGACUCCAUGAAGUUGGAAUCGCUAGUAAUCGUGGAUCAGCAUGCCACGGUGAAUACGUUCCCGGGCCUU
rnacentral:rRNA from 1 species